rnacentral:rRNA from 1 species
UGGGGAAUAUUGGACAAUGGGCGCAAGCCUGAUCCAGCCAUGCCGCGUGAGUGAUGAAGGCCCUAGGGUUGUAAAGCUCUUUCACCGGUGAAGAUAAUGACGGUAACCGGAGAAGAAGCCCCGGCUAACUUCGUGCCAGCAGCCGCGGUAAUACGAAGGGGGCUAGCGUUGUUCGGAAUUACUGGGCGUAAAGCGCACGUAGGCGGACUAUUAAGUCAGGGGUGAAAUCCCGGGGCUCAACCCCGGAACUGCCUUUGAUACUGGUAGGCUUGAGUGCGAGAGAGGUGAGUGGAAUUCCGAGUGUAGAAGUGAAAUUCGUAGAUAUUCGGAGGAACACCAGUGGCGAAGGCGGCUCACUGGCUUGAUACUGACGCUGAGGUGCGAAAGCGUGGGGAGCAAACAGG